rnacentral:rRNA from 1 species
GAUGAACGCUAGCGGCGUGCCUAAUACAUGCAAGUCGAGCGAACGGACGAGAAGCUUGCUUUUCUGAUGUUAGCCGCGGGCGGGUGUGUAACACGUGGAUAACCUACCUAUAAGACUGGGAUAACUUCGGGAAACCGGCGCUAAUACCGGAUAAUCUUUUGAACCGCAUGGUUCAAAAGUGAAAGACGGUCUCGCUGUCACUUAUCGAUGGAUCCGCGCUGCAUUAGCUAGUUGGUAAGGUAAAGGCUUACCAAGGCAACGAUGCAUAGCCGACCUGACAGGGGGAUAGGCCACACGGGAGCUUGGACACGGUCCAGACGCCUACGGGAGGCAGCAGUAGGGAAUCGUCCGCAAUGGGCGAGAGUCUGACGGAGCAACGCCGCGUGAGUGAUGAAGGUCUUCGGAGCGGAAUGCUCUGUUAUUAGGGAAAAACAUAUGUGUAAGUAGCUGUGCACAGCGUGACGGUACCUAAUCAGAAAGCCACGGCUAACUACGUG